CCUCCCCUGGUGCCUCCCAAUCUUCCUUCUUCUCCCUCCCACUUGUGUUAUCUCUAAGAAACAAAUAUUCUUUUGUAAUUUUAACCUAUUUAAAUAAUAAUGUUUAAAAUUUUGCAUCUCACAGGCAACGGACCCCAAAACAGGCAAGAACUGCACCAGACUGAAGAGCUUCUGUAUAGCAAAGAACAGUGAAGAGGUUGGCUUGAGGAGUAUAUGUUUGGGGGAAGAAGAUCCAUCCAUGAACUGGCAUUGUCAUCAUGGCCUGUCAAAGCUACAGGUGCCAAUAUGACUCAUGACUGUUGAGAUCCCCAUUUUACGUAUAAGAAAAGAGACCCAGCGACUUAUCCAAGAGCAAGACCAGCAAACAGCCAAGCAAGAUCUAAACUCUGUGGACCUCCAGCCAUGCUAUUCUCUGUUUCCUUUACUUCCUCUUGUCUGGAGCAUUAGUUACUCCUCAGAUCCCUUUCAAGAUGGCAGAACUGUUACUGUGGUGCUGCAGGAACUUGGUUACUGCCAUUUCCUCUUCAGAGCAUUUCCACAUGGAUCAUGCUCAUGGACAUGCAUAAGAACUGGGACUGUAGGUUCCAGAAGUUUCUCUCUGGGCCAGGCAAACUGGGCUGCAAUUUUACAAUCCAGUCCUUCCAACCCAAAUUUCCCUCUUAAUAAUAUUUUCUUAGUCUUUUUAAAAAUCUGAGUAUACUGUAGGGACCAUUAUGAAUCCCUAAACUUUGUAGAUUGAUUGAACUCUGCAGUGUCAUUAUGAUUUAAUUUGCUGCAUGACUUCAUUCUUUUCCGAAGCAUUCUUUAAGGAACAGACUUAUAAGAACUCAGCACUACAAUUAACCAGUAGGGAUUGGGGAAAUUCCAAAAGACUGUACAGUCUGUAUGGAUCCUGAAGAAAUGCAUAGAACAAUGUAAUGUAUUUCAUUUGAAAAGCCCAAGCAUGAAGAUCACUUCGACUUCUUACCUAAGGCAAAUGAAGUGCUAAUUCAUCUGUCUUAUGUCAGUCAUUCACGGAGUUUCAAGUUAUUUCAGAAUAAAUAACCUGAAAGGAGGAUUCGAAGUUUAAAAUGGGACCUGUCCAAAUAAUAAAUUGACUUUUAACAUUAAAACAUUAUUGGCUUUGGUAAACUUAGAUUACUAUUUUCAACUGAGAUUUCAUUGGUCUUAUUAAAGUCUGGACGAUAUUCAGAAUUGUUAUUAAAUUGUGCUAAUGCCUUUCUGACUUUCCUCCUCUCAGAUCACAAAGACCCUUCAAACAGAGCCAUGGAGGUGGGCUAGUGCAGGAGUUGCAUUCCUUGUCUUUUGCUUCUUCAUUCCGUUCUCUUCCCUUUCCCACUUCCUAGCACCCCCCAUCCCCACUACCUCCUUCAAGAGAUUGGAACAAGAUGAUUGACACACAGACAGGCACCUGGCCGAUGGGGAAUCAAUUUCCACCUCCUGAGAGUCAAUUACCUCUGGACAAAGAGACUGAGCCGUCUUGUGAAUGGAUGGUGAUGGGCUGAAGGCCAGGUGGGGCCAAGGUUCAACAUACUUAGUUCAUAUUGCUUCCAUAAAUUCUUUUUUUUUUUUUUGCUUCCAUAAAUUCUAUAAAUUGCAUGGAUUG